rnacentral:lncRNA from 1 species
UAUUAACUGUUUACAGUGUGCCAAGCAUUGUACUAAGCGGUGGGGUCUAUACAAGAUAAUUAAGUCAUACUCAGACCCUGACCCACAUGGGGUUCACCGUCUAUUUACUGAGUGCUCACGGUGCGCAGGGCACCGCACAAAAGGCUUGGGCAGGUACAACAGAGGUGGUAGACACGAUCUCUGCCCUCGAGGAGGUUACAGCCUGCUGCGGGAUUUAGUCCUCUUUUUACAGAGGAGGAAACUGAGACCCAGAAAAAUGAGGCGACUGGCACAAGAUCACACAAGCCGGCAAGAGGCAGAGCCGGGAUGAGAACCCAGGUCCUCUUUCCGCUAGGCCCGCACCACGUUGAGCGCCUGUGUGCCAGGGGAGCCCGAAGGAAACGCCGACCACUUCGGACAGAUGAAAGCGGCUGUGCCAGAGCGGAGGGCCGGGCCCCGAUCGUCACAAACGCCUUUUGCACCAGCGACUUCCCUGGAGAGCCGGGCCCGGGGUCGGGCUUCUCCUACCGGUGGUGGAGUCUGUGACCGGCAGACGGAGCAGGUGGGACGCACCCUCGGCCAGCAGACCUCCGGUACGGGUUUCCAAGCGAGCCAGUUACACAUAUCUCCCCGCCCCCCGACAACCGCAACUCCGACGGGGCAGGGCUGGGGCUGGAAGGGAGCGGGUCCGAGGUGGCUCUGAAAGGGGGAAUUACCCACGGCGAAACGAGCCGGCCGUCAGGCUCGGCCAGAGACUGUUUGGUCUUCCCACCUCCUGGCCCGCAAUCCACACACACAACCCCUCACGUCCUCUCCUACGGCCUCCCGUUCCCCGAAGCCUCCACUCUGGUCCUACAGCUCCCCGCAAGUAAUAAUGUUGGUAUUUGUAUUUGUUAAGCGCUUACUAUGUGCGGAGCACUGUUCUAAGCGCUGGGGCAGAUACAGGGUAAUCAGUUUGUCCCACGUGAGGCUCACGGAUAAUCCCCAUUUUACAGAUGAGGUAACUGAGGCACGGAGAAGUUAAGUGACUCGCCCACAGUCACACAGCUGACAAGUGGCGGAGCCGGGAGUCGAACCCAUGACCUCUGAUUCCGAAGCCCACGCUCUUUUCACCGCGCCACACUGCUUCUCCCCACCCUGCACCGCUCUGACCCGCGGGACGCUCUCAGAGUCAGGAGAAGGCCCAGCCGGUGCGGGGCGAGGCCCAGCCGGUGUCGGGGGAGGCCCUGGCCGUGCGUGCUGAGGCCCACCCGGUGUCGGGGGAGGCCCCGGCCACAACGGGUUGAGGCCCAGCCGGCGCGGGGUGAGCUCCUGGCCGUGUGGGGUGAGUCUCAGCUGGGCCACGGGCGUUGGAGGUCCGUCCCCGAAGCCAAGCGUAAGUGGGAAGCCGCUUCUAAGGUUUGGCAGGCAGAGGAAUCUUGUGAUUACGCCCUCGGCCCUAUAAACCGCCCACAGCUCCAGCACGGGCAGUGGCCGGCGCAGGCGGGGCAGCUUACCAACAACCCGAAUCCACACUUGGGGGACGGGGCCGCGUCCGGGUGGGCAUUCUCUUCGCAGAUGUGUCGGGAUGAUGCUGUCGGGGGCGGGGCCCGGGAGAGCUCGGUUAUCAGCCGACUUGCAGGGCCUGGGGCAAAGGGAAGGACUUGACCCAUCGAGAUACGAGGGGUGCAAGGGGCCCCGCGCCCAGAAUCAGGCAUCCACGAUGGCUGCACGUACACUCAGAGACACCCACAGAUACACAAGCUGAUAUAAGACACACACACACAUACACGCACACACUCAGGGUCCAAUUUUUUAAUUUUAAUGGUAUUUCUUAAGCACUUAUUAUGUGCCAGGCACUGUAUUAAGUGCUGGGGCAGAUACAAUGUAAUCAUAUUGGACACAGUUCACGUCCCAUAUGGGGGCUCGCAGUCUUAAUCUCCAGUUUACAGAUGAGGGAACUGAGGCACAGAGAAGCGAAGUCACAGAGCCAGGAUUAAAACCCAGGUCCUUGUGACUCCCAGUCCCAAGCUCUUAUCCAAUAAUCCAUGCUUCCUUCUUCUUAUUAUUAAUAUAAAGGGACUCUAAAUUUGUUUUCAGCCCAACUUCUAUUGCUAAAAUCUCUCCCCUCAGCCUGCAGAGUCCCGGCCAGACGCAGGGAUGAGAGGGGAGGAGCGGAAAGUUUCGGUGGAGACUCUCUGGGCUCCCAAAGAGUGGGCAAGAGGA